GACGAACGCUGGCGGCGUGCUUAACACAUGCAAGUCGAACGGUGAAGCGCCUUCCUUUUUGGUGGGUGUGGAUGAGUGGCGAACGGGUGAGUAACACGUGAGUAACCUGCCCCCUUCUUCUGGAUAACCGCAUGAAAGUGUGGCUAAUACGGGAUAUUCUGGGUCUGUCGCAUGAUGGGUCUGGGAAAGAUAUUGUUUCGGUGGUGGAUGGGGUCGCGGCCUAUCAGCUUGUUGGUGGGGUGAUGGCCUACCAAGGCGGUGACGGGUAGCCGGCCUGAGAGGGUAGACGGCCACACUGGGACGGAGACACCGCCAAGACUCCUAAGGGAGGCAGCAGUGGGGAAUAUUGCACAAUGGGCGCAAGCCUGAUGCAGCGACGCCGCGUGGGGGAUGGAGGCCUUCGGGUUGUGAACCUCUUUCGCCAGUGAAGCAUGCCUGCCUCGUUUGUGGGUGGGUUGACGGUAGCUGGAUAAGAAGCGCCGGCUAACUACGUG
rnacentral:rRNA from 1 species